GACGAACGCUGGCGGCGUGCUUAACACAUGCAAGUCGAACGACGUGGCGAACGGGUGAGUAACGCGUAAUCAACCUGCACUUCAGAGGGGGACAACAGUUGGACCCGACCGCUAAUACCGCAUACUGAAGGAGGGGAUUGUGUCUGAUCAGCUAGUUGGAGGGGUAACGGCCCAACAAGGCGAAGAUCAGUAGCCGGUCUGGGGGGAAGGACGGCCAACAUGGGACCUGGACACGGCCCCAGACCCUUACGGGGGGUGCCGUGGGGAAACUUUCGGAAUGGGAGAAAGUCUGGAGGAAGAAAACCGCCUGAGGGAAGAAAGCUUUCGGGUUGUAAAACCUUUGUAAUCGGGACGCGGUACCUGAAUAGAAAGCCACGGCUAACUACGUGCCAGCCGCCGCGGUAAUAC
rnacentral:rRNA from 1 species